GAUGAUCCCCUUGACACAACUCGCAACAUGCUACUUGAUGCUGAACUUGAAACCCUUGAAUCUCUUUUAUUUGCUGUGGAAGCUUGGCCAUUUGUUGAGUAAGAAGCUCCACUUGUUGAGAGAGUAGCUUGUUUUGAGCAAGGAUGGCAUCAUUUGUAUUCAACUCUAGAACUCCAGGCUUACGUUGUGAAGGGCUACGAUCAUGUUGACCUUGAUGAUCAUUACGGGCCAUCCGUUCAAUAAUGACUUUAGCUUCUUCCGCAG
rnacentral:lncRNA from 1 species